GACGAACGCUGGCGGCGUGCCUAAUACAUGCAAGUCGAACGCAGUGGGGACGGGUGAGUAACACGUGGGUAACCUCCCAUCAGAGGGGAUAACACUUGGAAACAGGUGCUAAACCGAUACUGAUGGAUGAACCCGCGUUUCAUUAGCUAUUGGGUGAGGUAACGGGGCACCAAGGCCAAGAUGCAUAGCCGACCUGAGAGGGUGAUCGGCCAGACUGGGACUUAGAAACGGCCCAGACUCCGACGGGAGGCAGCAGUAGGGAAUCGUCGGCAAUGGACGAAAGUCUGACCGAGCAACGCCGCGUGAGUGAAGAAGGUUUUCGGAUCGGAAAACUCUGUUGUUAGAGAAGCGGUAUCUAACCGGAAAGCCACGGCUAACUACGUGCCAGCAGCCGCGGUAAUUC
rnacentral:rRNA from 1 species